AGCCAUGCCAUAUGUGGACUCUCUGGUGUUCAACUCCAGCGUGACUUAAUCUACUAUGGAGAUGGUGAAGCAAUGUGGCAACAUCUGUUGAAACGUCACACAGACCUGUGAAAUCCCACCAGAGGAGGCUUCCCUGAAGUGAAAUUAUGUCAACACCUGCAGACUACCAGUAAAAAGUAAAGGAAAGCCCUAUCACAUGGGAAUGUAUAACUUUUCAUUUCAUUGUGACAACCUCUAAGGAGAAGAUACAAAACACAACAGUAAACCCUGAGAUAAUACACUAAAUAACGGAAAAAACUAGGCUUGUUUGUUUUGCUCUUUUCUUACAACAGAAAUUACAGCGGCAGGAAAUAUAAAACUAUACAGUCAAAUCCACCUUCAGGGCUACUAAAUAACACAAGUAAAAAUCCUAAAAAAUACAAAAUAUUGAAAGUAACAUAUAGUUUAUUCUUCAGUGAUAUAUACCACACAUGGACGACAUUCAAAAAUCUCAUCAGUUGAUAAGUCUAAAUGUUUGCAAUGGGAUCUGCCCAUCAAAAUCCAAUUACUGAUUACCUUGC